rnacentral:rRNA from 1 species
ACGAACGCUGGCGGCGCGCCUAACACAUGCAAGUCGAACGGAGUUGUGUUGAAAGCUUGCUGGAUAUACAACUUAGUGGCGGACGGGUGAGUAACACGUGAGUAACCUGCCUUUCAGAGUGGAAUAACGUUUGGAAACGAACGCUAAUACCGCAUAACAUAGUUUCCGGGCAUCCGGAGACUAUCAAAGAUUUUAUCGCUGAGAGAUGGGCUCGCGGCCGAUUAGGUAGUUGGUGAGAUAACAGCCCACCAAGCCGACGAUCGGUAGCCGGACUGAGAGGUUGAACGGCCACAUUGGGACUGAGACACGGCCCAGACUCCUACGGGAGGCAGCAGUGGGGGAUAUUGCACAAUGGGGGGAACCCUGAUGCAGCGACGCCGCGUGAGGGAAGACGGUCUUCGGAUUGUAAACCUCUGUCUUUAGGGACGAAAAAAUGACGGUACCUAAGGAGGAAGCCACGGCUAACUACGUGCCAGCAGCCGCGGUAAUACGUAGGUGGCAAGCGUUGUCCGGAAUUACUGGGUGUAAAGGGAGCGUAGGCGGGGAGACAAGUUGAAUGUUUAAACUAUCGGCUCAACUGAUAGUCGCGUUCAAAACUAUCACUCUUGAGUGCAGUAGAGGUAGGCGGAAUUACUAGUGUAGCGGUGAAAUGAGUAGAUAUUAGGAGGAACACCAGUGGCGAAGGCGACUUACUGGACUGAAACUGACGUUGAGGCACGAAAGUGUGGGGAGCAAACAGGAUUAGAUACCCUGGUAGUCCACACCGUAAACGAUGAUUACUAGGUGUUGGAGGAUUGACCCCUUCAGUGCCGCAGUUAACACAAUAAGUAAUCCACCUGGGGAGUACGACCGCAAGGUUGAAACUCAAAGGAAUUGACGGGGGCCCGCACAAGCAGUGGAGUAUGUGGUUUAAUUCGACGCAACGCGAAGAACCUUACCAGGUCUUGACAUCGAGUGACGAACAUAGAGAUAUGUUUUUCCUUCGGGACACGAAGACAGGUGGUGCAUGGUUGUCGUCAGCUCGUGUCGUGAGAUGUUGGGUUAAGUCCCGCAACGAGCGCAACCCUUAUCAUUAGUUGCUACGCAAGAGCACUCUAAUGAGACUGCCGUUGAUAAAACGGAGGAAGGUGGGGAUGACGUCAAAUCAUCAUGCCCCUUAUGACCUGGGCUACACACGUACUACAAUGGUGAUCAAACAGAGGGAAGCAACACAGCGAUGUGAAGCAGAACCCGAAAAAUCAUCUCAGUUCAGAUUGCAGGCUGCAACUCGCCUGCAUGAAGUCGGAAUUGCUAGUAAUCGCGGAUCAGCAUGCCGCGGUGAAUACGUUCCCGGGCCUUGUACACACCGCCCGUCACACCAUGGGAGUCGGUAACACCCGAAGUCAGUAGCCUAACCGCAAGGAGGGCGCUGCCGAAGGUGGGAUUGAUGACUGGGGUG